rnacentral:rRNA from 1 species
CCGGUGCUGGAAGGUUAAUUGAUGGGGUUAGCGUAAGCGAAGCUCUUGAUCGAAGCCCCAGUAAACGGCGGCCGUAACUAUAACGGUCCUAAGGUAGCGAAAUUCCUUGUCGGGUAAGUUCCGACCUGCACGAAUGGCAUAAUGAUGGCGGCGCUGUCUCCAGCAGAGGCUCAGUGAAAUCGAAAUCGCUGUGAAGAUGCAGUGUACCCGCGGCUAGACGGAAAGACCCCGUGAACCUUUACUGCAGCUUGACACUGAACUUUGACCUUACUUGUGUAGGAUAGGUGGGAGGCUUUGAAGCUGGAACGCUAGUUCCAGUGGAGCCGUCCUUGAAAUACCACCCUGGUAAUGUUGAGGUUCUAACUCUGUCCCGUGAUCCGGGACGAGGACCGUGUCUGGUGGGUAGUUUGACUGGGGCGGUCUCCUCCUAAAGAGUAACGGAGGAGUACGAAGGUGCGCUCAGCGUGGUCGGAAAUCACGCGUAGAGUAUAAAGGCAAAAGCGCGCUUAACUGCGAGACCCACAAGUCGAGCAGGUACGAAAGUAGGUCUUAGUGAUCCGGUGGUUCUGUAUGGAAGGGCCAUCGCUCAACGGAUAAAAGGUACUCUGGGGAUAACAGGCUGAUACCGCCCAAGAGUUCAUAUCGACGGCGGUGUUUGGCACCUCGAUGUCGGCUCAUCUCAUCCUGGGGCUGAAGCAGGUCCCAAGGGUAUGGCUGUUCGCCAUUUAAAGAGGUACGCGAGCUGGGUUUAGAACGUCGUGAGACAGUUCGGUCCCUAUCUACCGUGGGCGCUGGAAAUUUGAGAGGAUCUGCUCCUAGUACGAGAGGACCAGAGUGGACGAACCUCUGGUGUACCGGUUGUGACGCCAGUCGCAUCGCCGGGUAGCUAUGUUCGGAAGGGAUAACCGCUGAAAGCAUCUAAGCGGGAAGCCUACCUCAAGAUAAGAUUUCCCUAGGACUUUAUGUCCUCUAAAGAGCCGUUCGAGACUAGGACGUUGAUAGGUUGGAUGUGGAAGCAUAGUGAUAUGUGAAGCUGACCAAUACUAAUUGCUCGUGAGGCUUGACUAU